GACGAACGCUGGCGGCGUGCUUAACACAUGCAAGUCGUACGGUAAGGCCCUUUCUGGGGUACACGAGUGGCGAACGGGUGAGUAACACGUGAGUAACCUGCCCACAACUUUGGGAUAACGCUAGGAAACUGGUCCUAAUACCGGCUAUGUGCUCCUGCUGCAUGGUGGGGGUUGGAAAGCUCCGGCGGUUGUGGAUGGGCUCGCGGCCUAUCAGCUUGUUGGUGGGGUAGUGGCCUACCAAGGCGGCGACCCGUAGCCGGCCUGAGAGGGUGACCGGCCAUCUUGGGACUGAGAUACGGCCCAGAUUCGUACGGGAGGCAGAAGUGGGGAAUAUUGCACAAUGGGCGCCAGCCUGAUGCAGCAAGGCCGCGUGCGGGAUGACGGCCUUCGGGUUGUGAACCGGUUUCAGCAGGGACGAAGCUUUUUGUGACGGUACCUGCAGAAGAAGCACCGGCUAACUACGUG
rnacentral:rRNA from 1 species